GGGUAGGGGGCGUGAGAGCGUGACCCCCCACACUGGUACUGAAACACGGACCAGAUACCUACGGGUAGCAGCAGCAAGGAAUAUUGCCCAACGGACGAAAGUCUGAGGCAGCAACACCGCGUGGAGGACGAAGGCCUUCGGGUCGUAAGCUCCUUUUCUGGGGGAAGAGAACGGACGGUACCCCAGGAAUAAGGCCCGGCUAACUACGUGCCAGCAGCCGCGGUAAAACGUAGGGGUCGAGCGUUAUCCGGAUUUACUGGGCGUAAAGAGCAUGUAGGCGGUUGCUUAAGUCGGACGUAAAAGCUCCUGGCUCAACUAGGAGAGGCCGUUCGAAACUGAGCAACUCGAGGAUGGUAGAGGAGAGUGGAAUUCCCGGUGUAGUGGUGAAAUGCGUAGAUAUCGGGAGGAACACCAGUGGCGAAGGCGGCUCUCUGGGCCAUUCCUGACGCUGAGAUGCGAAAGCUAGGGGAGAGAACGGGAUUAGAAACCCUGGUAUUCCUAGCCGUAAACGAUGUCAACUAGGUGUAGGAGGUAUUGACCCCUUCUGUGCUGCAGCAAACGCGUUAAGUUGACCGCCUGGGGACUACGGCCGCAAGGCUAAAACUCAAAGGAAUUGACGGGGACCCGCACAAGCAGCGGAGCGUGUGGUUUAAUUCGAGGCUACGCGAAGAACCUUACCAGGGUUUGACAUGGCGGUAGUAGGGAUCCGAAAGGUGACCGACCCUUCGGGGAGCCGUCACAGGUGCUGCAUGGCUGUCGUCAGCUCGUGCCGUGAGGUGUUAGGUUAAGUCCUGUAACGAGCGCAACCCACGUCGUUAGUUAUACGUGUCUAACGAGACUGCCGGUGAUAAGCCGGAGGAAGGUGUGGAUGACGUCAAGUCAGCAUGGCCUUUAUAUCCUGGGCUACACACACGCUACAAUGGCCGGUACAAUGGGCAGCGAAACCGCGAGGUGGAGCCAAUCCUCUAAAGCCGGUCUCAGUUCGGAUUGUAGGCUGCAACUCGCCUGCAUGAAGUCGGAGUUGCUAGUAAACGCACGUCAGCACAGUGCGUUGAAUACGUUCCCGGGUCUUGUACACACCGCCCGUCACGUCAUGGAAGUUGGCAACGCCUGAAGUCGGUGGGCUAACCCUAACGGGAGGCAGCCGCCCAAGGCGGGGUCGGUAACUGGGACGAAGUCGUAACAAGGUAGCUGUAGCGGAAGCUGCGGCUG
rnacentral:rRNA from 1 species